GUGCCUACGGGGGGCAGCAGUGAGGAAUAUUGGUCAAUGGGCGGAAGCCUGAACCAGCCAAGUAGCGUGCAGGAUGACGGCCCUACGGGUUGUAAACUGCUUUUAUACGGGAAUAACGCGCCUUACGUGUAGGGCUUUGCAUGUACCGUAUGAAUAAGGACCGGCUAAUUCCGUGCCAGCAGCCGCGGUAAUACGGAAGGUCCGGGCGUUAUCCGGAUUUAUUGGGUUUAAAGGGUGCGCAGGCGGUCUGUUAAGUCAGCGGUCAAAGCCCGGGGCUCAACCCCAGCCCGCCGUUGAAACUGGCG
rnacentral:rRNA from 1 species